UUGACAGACAGACAGAUGGGCUGGGAUUGUAGCUCAACGUUUCCUGGGUUCAGUACUGCCAGUACUGCCAGUGUUCUUUCAAGCCUAAUCAAAUCACGUGGCAUUUUUUUAAAGCCAAAAAAUGUAUUCUGGGCUGGUUCCAGGAGAGGUAAAAGCCACAGAAACAUGCUGCUGGCCCAGGAGACAGCGAGCAUUUCUUUGUGCACUGUGUAUGGAGACAGACGGUGGCCUCCAGACAUGGAAAACUGUCCUUCAGUCACAGCUGGCAGGGAACAGGAGGCCAGUGCUGCAACUGCAGGAAGCAAACGCUGCCAAACCAGAUCAGAGUGCUGGCCGACACCUGUGUUUCUGCCCUGAGAUCCAGAGCAAAGUCCGGCCCUGCAGUGCCUACACAGACGUCACAGAAGUGUUGACUGUUGUUUUAAUCCAUGGAAUAGGUGGUGUUUUGUUGCAAAGCUGAUAACAAGAUUUUCUCAGUGGCAGCAUCUAUUACCCCUACUGAAAAAAAACAGUGUAACUUUCACUCCCUCUUUCUUAGGAGAAUAUUCAUAUCUCCGGUGGGAAGAAAGUGAUGUCAUAUUGACUGGUCCUAAAGAGGCUGAAGAUUCCAAGUGAUCUAGGGCAGGAAAGAGGAGGAGUACAUCAGAAAGGCCAGGUUGCAGAUCCCUCGCACCCUUGGGUUCUCUGCUGGCACUUCGAGGACAUGAUCUGCAGAAGGCACUGCUCAGACCCUGGGGCCCUGUUGAAAUAGGAGUCUCGGUGCUGCUGGACUUGUGGACCUGUCCUUCCCUUCCUUUCCUCCCUCUCCUGAAAGCCUGAGGGUGGUGCGCUUUUGCUGAGUAUGAAGUGCAACCUAAAAUGUACUCAGGUGAAACGUUCACAUCAAGAGUUAACGUGCUAAAUAACUUUAGGGGCUAAGCCAAUAGAAUCAUCUUUUCAUCCAGUUCAUGAAACCUGACUUCUAAAUAUAAGUCCUCUUUACUGUCAACAACUUAAUCCAGUGUAAAGGAGGCACGCAGGUUUUUACUGGGGUUAAAGAUCCACACCACUUUCUGGCUUUUGUGCUGUGCUAGGCUCAGGGUCAAGGUAACUUUUGCUGCCUGUGAGUAGGGCAUGUUUGUGACAUUCCACAAACUGGAAGGGAAUUGUUGAAAGGCAGUUAGUCUGGCUGUCCCCCUGUCUGUCUUCCUCCACGUCCUCUGCUUAACAGCAUAGAGUCAUGGCUGCACACUAUACUCAUCACCUUUUCAUUGUGUGCCUGAAUACCUGAGAAAAACAACCUCAGGGUGGAAAGAUAAUUGGUUGGCUCAUGGUUUCAGAGGUUUUGGGCCAUGGUCAGUUGGCUCUGCUGAUUUUAGGCCCAUAACAAGGCCGCAACAUCACUGCAAAAGGGCAUGGAGUAAGGAAGCUGCUCACCCCAUGGUUGCUAGGAAGCAAGAAGAAAAGAAAAAAGCCCGAGUUAGUGACUUUUCUCCUUCUUCCAAUUCCGUUCCAUCUGGGCCCCCACCUCAUUGAAUGGUGCUGCCCACACGCAGGGCUAUCUCACCUCUCAGCUGUACUGUCCCGCAUGCCAGUUUAUCUGGAGACAUCUGCACAACAAUCCAGAAGUGUGCUUUUCUAGUUCCCGAGGCAUUUUUUUCUAUCCACUCAAUCUGACAAACAAAAUGAUCUCAUGGGUGACUCUGUGGUUCCUUUUCUUCUGGUGUUGACAGUUUAAGUGAUGGCUUGUGAAUCCGGUUACAUGUGCUGUGUUUGGAUCUGGCUUGCAUGUGUCCUACAAAGGUUUCUGUGUUGGAAGCUUGGUCUUCAGUGUGGCCAAGGUUGGGGGGUCAUGGAAACUUUAAGAGGUACAGCCCAGUGCAAGGUAAUUACAUCACCGGAAGCACUGCCUUUAGGAGGGAUUUGUGUCGUUCUGGAACCGCAGUUGUCUCUCCCAAGAACGAGUUGAUAUAAAGAGAAAACCCAGCCCCUAAUUUCUCUGGCUUCCUGUUUCGCCAUGGGAUCUCAUACACACAUCUCUGAUAUAGUGAUGCUGUUAAUCAUCUAGCUCCUCCUAGACCUGGUGAUGGUGUCUAGACUACAAGCAAAAUAAACUUCUUUUCUUUUUACACUAUCCAGCAGCAGCAAGCAUUUUGGUAUAGCAACAGAAAACACAUCAAGACACAGAAAAAUGAUCAACGUGGGCCAUUUGACUUGUUUCCAGUUGAGGCACUCUGGAUUUUAUUAGCUUCAGAAAAAGGAGCCUUCCUAUGGAGUCUGGGCCUAUUGACAAUUCAACUUCAGUGUUUGAAUCAGAGCUUCAGUGUCUAAGAAAAUUUUCCCGGCCUAUUUUGCCUUCUUUGAUAUGGUGAAUAAAUGAUCAAAUGAAUGGAAGAAUUAGUAUUAAAAUAAAUCAUAA